UGUCUCUUUUACUCUCUUUCUCAUACACUAGAGUUUCGUAGCUUUGCACCUGCUCUUUCUCUUUCUUUGAUCCACCACUCCAUUCCGUCUAUCUUUGUUUUGGCCUUUGCUGCAAAAACCAGUGUUUGUUUUCUAGAAUGGAAUUUCAGGUGGCUCUUUUUAAGAUUGUUUUGCCCUUUGAAAAGCUCUUCGAACUUGUGGUGGGUUGUGUCGUUCUUCGGUUCUGCCUCUACUGGACUCUUUUGAGGUCUUCCAACGAUUGAAGUUCCUUACACCCUUGCAUCAAAAAGCUCUAACCUUUCUGUGAUUAGCUCUUCCACAGUCGUUGAUCGAGCGUUAUCUUGCCUGACCGUUGAUGAUGCUUGGUUGUGUCAGUGCACUCUGAUCCUGUGAAAUAUAUGAAUUCUAACUUUGCUGCUCCUUUUUAUUCUAUUCCUCGAGCUGC